GCUGGGUGUGGUGAUGCGUGCCUGUAGUCCCAGCUACUUAGGAGGCUGAGGCAGGAGGAUCAUUUGAAGCCAAGAGUUCUGGGCUGAAGUGUGCUAUGCUGAUCUGGUGUCUACACUGAAUUUACCAUCAAAUACGGUGACCUCCCGGGAACAGGUUGCCUAAGGAGAGGUAAAUCGUCCCAAGUUGGAAAUAGUGCACAUCAGAACUCCUGUGCUGAUCAGUGGUGGGAUCACGCCUGUGAAUAAUCUGUACUCCAGCCUGAGCAACAUAGUGAGAACCCAGCUCA
rnacentral:SRP_RNA from 1 species